rnacentral:rRNA from 1 species
UACAGAGGGUGCAAGCGUUAAUCGGAAUUACUGGGCGUAAAGCGCGCGUAGGCGGCUUGACAAGUCGAGUGUGAAAUCCCCGGGCUUAACCUGGGAGCUGCAUUCGAAACUGUCUUGCUAGAGUAUGGGAGAGGGAGGUGGAAUUUCAGGUGUAGCGGUGAAAUGCGUAGAUAUCGGAAGGAACACCUGUGGCGAAAGCGGCGCACUGGACCAAAACUGACGCUGAGGCGCGAAAGCUAGGGGAGCAAACAGG